AAAAACAGACGGAAGUACCAUGAAUGUAAAAAGCAAGUUUAUGGAAUUGUGAAAAGAGAACUGUAAAGACCGGAAUUCAGGUAUCAUAAGGUUGUGAGCAUGGCAAGGGCAUACAGGAAAGAAACAUGCUACUCUACAAGUUAACAAUGUAAGAUGGAAAUGAGAGACAGAAAAAGAAGCAAUGAAUGUUAAUUUGAACUAAUAUUUCUGUUCUUUUAAAAACUGAUUGAGACGAAUAAAGCAGGAAGAUCAAUUUAUUGACCUUUUGUUUCUUCUUACCAGUAACAAUUGGAGCACAACAAGAUGACAUAAACAUUCCGUAUUAACAUCACAUGUUUAUACUAAAUAAAUAUAGUGCACACAGAGGAAUUCCACUUGUUUGCAUUUCCAGAGGAACACUAUCGCCAUCACUAGGAGAGUAGAAUUACGCAAAAAGAUAAAGCAGCACAAGGACUACUAGCCAAGUAGUAAGAUCUUAGUUCACAGUACAUACAGUUCCAUUCCAUAUUAAAGUAUAAAGAAAAACAGUUACAAACUACAGUUGCUUAUUUUUCACCUUUAACAUGGCUUUGAUUGCAGGAACUUCCAAGUGAAAGUUCUGGUCAAAUCUAAAAGAGAAUCACUGUUUAGAGCGUAGAUGAAAUUAAAUUUACUAACUAGUUAAGUCAAAUAACAGUUGCAGCAUGGAAGUUAGAAAUGAGAAUCAAAGCUGAACAUGUGCUUUAACAAAGUUUGGUGGACUCGAUCAAUAUUGCUUGCUUCUAAGUUAUUAAUUGUCCUUGCUGAAACUAGCUUAAUAAAGAGACACAGAACAAUUCAAACUUACGACUAUUUUCUUUCAGCACAGUCAUAUUACUGGACUAUUUAGUGUGUGUCAUAUGUUGCUCCAAGUUUCCAAAAAUGUUGCCACACACAUGUCGGAUCUUCCAAAUGGCACUAGCUUUGAAGGAUCCGGCAAGUAACUCUCGACAUUAUUGAAGAAUCCAAGCAAACAGACUGUGACUAUGGUUCCAUUUUACAAGGAUAUGUCUGUUUUGAUAAUUUCCAUCACUGAUAAUAAGAACUUUUGGUAAGUUCGUGUCACGAUUCCAAAACAAUCAGUACAUUUCUGAUGAUCAUUUGGCCCCUUCGACAAAAUAAUCUGCACCAGAUUUGGACCACACAACUUUCAUUCAACCAUCAUAAAUCAGAUCGAAUAAACCAUCAUUUUAAAUCAGCUGGAUUACACCAUUCACGAUAUUCAUGUUUGAAACCAAGGUAUUCAAAGUACUCGAGUUCGUAAAGUUAUAAUAUCAUUCUAAAAGUGUACAAAUGAUCCUCCACCAAAGGUAUCUUACUCCUCCAUAAUGAUGGCAACAAACAUGGUGCAUGAACCGUUUGGUAAGUUUUCUAUUGUAUGUGGGGAUGCAGGGCAAUAUAUUCCAAAGAAGGUACAAACACAAAAGCUUUACAGAAAACUGUCAUUCAUCUUCACUGAUAGUGCAGUUUUCAACCGUAUACAUUUGGACAUUCUUGGCUAGUAUUUCAAGACCCCUCUAUGUUGUACUUCCCUCUCUUACCCUACAUGUAAGAAUUAUUCUCCUCUUUAGUGCAGAAGGGCAAGGUGAAGGCUUUUUAGACUAAAGGUGGUUGCAUUACUUUAUAUCAGUCUGUUCGGAUUUAAACUUUUUGGUUUAGGCCUCUAAAUGGACCGCAUCAUUCAAAAUUCAGAACAACCAAUAUAGUGCUUGACAGAUAAGAAACAGAACUUAUGUUUAUUGUUUGUGGCUUCUGGUGUCGCAUAAAAAUCACAAAACACUCAAACUAGAAAUGAGGAAAACUUUAUCUAUUGACAUACAAGAAGAACCCAAAAAUGAAGAGAAAGCAAA